GCGGGGGUGCCCGAGCUUGGCCAAAGGGGGCGGACUCAAGGGAUCCGCUGGUGUAGGCCUGCGUGGGUUCAAAUCCCACCCCCCGCA
rnacentral:tRNA from 1 species